rnacentral:lncRNA from 1 species
AUUCUCCUGCCUCAGCCUCCUGAGUAGCUGGGACUACAGGUACGGUAUUCCAGCCUAAGAUAAAGUGUGCACAAGUCCCUGCCCUCAUGGAAGACACCACAUAGUCUCAAUAUGGAAGGGGGCAGGGAGGUGGAACUCCUUUAAAAUAAUGCCAGAAAUAGCCUGGAGAGGAAGCUAAGACGUAGGACAUUGCUAAACCUGGCUGAAGAAAAAUGUACAAUCAUUGUGACUGGGCUCACUGUACUCUGGUCCUUGGCUCUCCUAAGACUCAUAAAAGCCGCUCCAGCGGCUAAGGAAGUUCUGUGCAAAGCCUGUAGUUUCUAGUUGUGAAGAUCUUCAGGUUUGCUUGAGCAAUGAAAGAGUACUGGAUUUGGAGUCCGCAGUCCUGGAUGGCCACCAUUACCAGCAAAAGGAGUAUUUCCGGAGCCUGGCACAACGCUGGGCACAUUGAUGGGGCUCAAUGAAUAUGUAUUAAAUGAACGAGUGACAGAACAGAUUCGAGACUUGGUGCUGCCAUCUACUACAGAGACCUUGAUCGUGUCCUUUAUCUGCCGUGAACCUCAGUUUCCAUAUCUGUCAACCAGGGGUGGUUCCCUGGGGUAGUGUGAGAGUAAAUUCCCGCCGCCUGAGGUGUGCAGAGUUCCCGCCCUUCCCGGAGCCGGGCGCCCCAGGAGCGCUCUCUCUGGCUCCCGCCAGAAAGGAUGGCUCCUAGGGGUCAGGGCCAGGGGUCUGGGAAGGGGUCGCGCCG